rnacentral:rRNA from 1 species
GACGAACCGUGCGAACGUUGUUCGGAAUCACUGGGCUUAAAGGGCGCGUAGGCGGGCGAGCAAGUCCGGGGUGAAAUCUUUCGGCUUAACCGGAAAAGUGCCUUGGAUACUGCUUGUCUCGAGGGAGGUAGGGGCAGGUGGAACUUCCGGUGGAGCGGUGAAAUGCGUUGAUAUCGGAAGGAACGCCGGUGGCGAAAGCGACCUGCUGGAUCUCUACUGACGCUGAGGCGCGAAAGCUAGGGGAGCGAACGGG